GAGGAAGUAGCUCAGUUGGUUAGAGCAACGAACUUUUUACUCUUCGCUAUAAAUUAUAUUUAAGCACAAAGAGUUCCUAAAACUUUGGAUUCAUGGGUCGCAGGUUCGAGUCCUGCCUUCCUCG
rnacentral:tRNA from 1 species